AGUCGAACGGGGACGGAGGUACUUGCUCCCCCUGAUCAGUGGCGAACGGGUGAGUAACACGUGAGUAACCUGCCCCAGACUCUGGGAUACAUCGGGAAACCGGUGCUAAUACCGGAUAUGAGACGAGACUGCAUGGUCAUCGUCUGGAAAGAUUUAUCGGUCUGGGAUGGACUCGCGGCCUAUCAGCUAGUUGGUGAGGUAAUGGCUCACCAAGGCGACGACGGGUAGCCGGCCUGAGAGGGCGACCGGCCACACUGGAACUGAGACACGGUCCAGACUCCUACGGGAGGCAGCAGUGGGGAAUAUUGCACAAUGGGCGCAAGCCUGAUGCAGCAACGCCGCGUGGGGGAUGAAGGCCUUCGGGUUGUAAACCCCUUUUAGCAGGGAAGAAGCGAAAGUGACGGUACCUGCAGAAAAAGCGCCGGCUAACUACGUGCCAGCAGCCGCGGUAAUACGUAGGGCGCAAGCGUUGUCCGGAAUUAUUGGGCGUAAAGAGCUCGUAGGCGGUUUGUCGCGUCUGCUGUGAAAGUCCGAGGCUCAACCUCGGAUCUGCAGUGGGUACGGGCAGACUAGAGUGUGGUAGGGGAGACUGGAAUUCCUGGUGUAGCGGUGGAAUGCGCAGAUAUCAGGAGGAACACCAAUGGCGAAGGCAGGUCUCUGGGCCAUAACUGACGCUGAGGAGCGAAAGCGUGGGGAGCGAACAGGAUUAGAUACCCUGGUAGUCCACGCCGU
rnacentral:rRNA from 1 species